AACUACGGCCAUACUACCCUGAACAUGCCCGAUCUCGUCUGACCUCAGAAGCUAAGCAGGGUCAGGCCUGGUUAGUACUUGGAUGGGAGACCGCCUGGGAAUACUGGGUGCUGUAGGCC
rnacentral:rRNA from 1 species